UACGGAGGAUCCAAGCGUUAUCCGGAUUUAUUGGGUUUAAAGGGUGCGUAGGCGGCUUAUUAAGUCAGGGGUGAAAGACGGUGGCUCAACCAUCGCAGUGCCCUUGAUACUGAUGAGCUUGAAUACACUAGAGGUAGGCGGAAUGUGACAAGUAGCGGUGAAAUGCAUAGAUAUGUCACAGAACACCGAUUGCGAAGGCAGCUUACUAUGGUGUGAUUGACGCUGAGGCACGAAAGCGUGGGGAUCAAAC
rnacentral:rRNA from 1 species